GCAUCGAUGAAGAACGCAGCGAAAUGCGAUAAGUAGUGUGAAUUGCAGAAUUCAGUGAAUCAUCGAAUCUUUGAACGCACAUUGCGCCCUUCGGUAUUCCGUUGGGCAUGCCUGUUCGAGCGUCAUUUAACCCUUCAAGCUUCUGCUUGGUGUUGGGCGUUUGUUCCGCCUCCGCGCGUGGACUCGCCUCAAAUUCAUUGGCAGCCGGUAAGUUGGCUUCGUGCGCAGCACAUUGCGUCGCGUCUCCAGCCUGCCCCCUUCCAACAAGCCUNUAUUAUCACUUUGACCUCGGAUCAGGUAGGGAUACCCGCUGAACUUAAGCAUAUCAAUAAGCGGAGGA
rnacentral:rRNA from 1 species